rnacentral:rRNA from 1 species
UGAACGCUGGCGGCGUGCCUAACACAUGCAAGUCGAACGAAGCACCCUCCCGAAGAUUGACGUAGCUUGCUACAGAUUGAUUCAAUUGGGGUGACUUAGUGGCGGACGGGUGAGUAACGCGUGGGUAACCUGCCCUAUAGAGGGGGACAACAGUUGGAAACGACUGCUAAUACCGCAUAACACAUUUGCACCGCAUGAUGCGAAUGUCAAAGAUUUAUCGCUAUAGGAUGGACCCGCGUCUGAUUAGCUAGUUGGUGAGGUAACGGCUCACCAAGGCGACGAUCAGUAGCCGGCUUGAGAGAGUGAACGGCCACAUUGGGACUGAGACACGGCCCAGACUCCUACGGGAGGCAGCAGUGGGGAAUAUUGCACAAUGGGGGAAACCCUGAUGCAGCCGACGCCGCGUGAGUGAAGAAGUAUUUCGGUAUGUAAAGCUCUAUCAGCAGGGAAGAUAAUGACGGUACCUGACUAAGAAGCCCCGGCUAACUACGUGCCAGCCGCUGC